rnacentral:rRNA from 1 species
UACGGGAGGCAGCAGUGGGGAAUAUUGCACAAUGGGCGCAAGCCUGAUGCAGCCAUGCCGCGUGUAUGAAAAAGGCCUUCGGGUUGUAAAGUACUUUCAGUCGUGAGGAAGGUGUUAAGGUUAAUAACCUUAGCAAUUGACGUUAGCGACAGAAGAAGCACCGGCUAACUCCGUGCCAGCAGCCGCGGUAAUACGGAGGGUGCGAGCGUUAAUCGGAAUUACUGGGCGUAAAGGGCACGCAGGCGGUUAAUUAAGUUGGAUGUGAAAUCCCCGGGCUUAACCUGGGAAUGGCAUUCAAGACUGGUUAGCUAGAGUCUUGUAGAGGGGGUAGAAUUCCAUGUGUAGCGGUGAAAUGCGUAGAGAUGUGGAGGAUACCGGUGGCGAAGGCGGCCCCUGGACAAAGACUGACGCUCAUGUGCGAAAGCGUGGGGAGCAAACAGGGAUUUAGAUACC